CUGCGAGCAGCCAGAGUAAGACGGGUGUGGCAAGUGCUUACCCAGAAUAUUGGGGGUAAAGCGCGCGUAGGCGGUUUCUUAAGUCUGAUGUGAAAGCCCACGGCUCAACCGUGGAGGGUCAUUGGAAACUGGGAAACUUGAGUGCAGAAGAGGAAAGUGGAAUUCCAUGUGUAGCGGUGAAAUGCGCAGAGAUAUGGAGGAACACCAGUGGCGAAGGCGACUUUCUGGUCUGUAACUGACGCUGAUGUGCGAAAGCGUGGGGAUCAAACAGGAUUAGAUACCCUGGUAGUCC
rnacentral:rRNA from 1 species